UACGUAGGGUGCAAGCGUUGUCCGGAAUUAUUGGGCGUAAAGAGCUCGUAGGCGGUCUGUUGCGUCGGCUGUGAAAACCCGGGGCUCAACCCCCGGGCCUGCAGCCGAUACGGGCAGACUAGAGUUCGGCAGGGGGAGACUGGAAUUCCUGGUGUAGCGGUGAAAUGCGCAGAUAUCAGGAGGAACACCAAUAGCGAAGGCAGCUCGCUGGGACGGUAUUGACGCUAAGGCGCGAAAGCGUGGGGGAGCAAACAGG
rnacentral:rRNA from 1 species